ACGGGAGGCAGCAGUGGGGAAUAUUGGGCAAUGGGCGAAAGCCUGACCCAGCAACGCCGCGUGAGGGAAGAAGGUCUUCGGAUUGUAAACCUUUGUCUUAUGGGACGAUAAUGACGGUACCAUAGGAGGAAGCCACGACUAACUACGUGCCAGCAGUCGCGGUAAUACGUAGGUGGCGAGCGUUAUCCGGAAUUAUUGGGUGUAAAGGGUGCGUAGGCGGGAUGUAAAGUCAGAUGUGAAAUACCGCGGCUUAACUGCGGGGCUGCAUUUGAAACUUACGUUCUUGAGUGCGAUAGAGGUAAGUGGAAUUCCCAGUGUAGCGGUGAAAUGCGUAGAUAUUGGGAGGAACACCAGUGGCGAAGGCGACUUACUGGGCCGUUACUGACGCUGAGGCACGAAAGUGUGGGGAGCAAACAGGAUUAGGUACCCUGGUA
rnacentral:rRNA from 1 species